AGUUCUGUGCCCAAGGAAUAUCUGUGGGAUGAGUACAUGGAAUUUAUGCAAAUUGCUUCACAAGCCACCAAGAUUUUGGGUUAAUCUUUCCCUUCACUGUUCUUCUGAUCAAGCUCUACGUCUCUGGGACUAAAGUCAAACUAGGUAUUUCACAGCCACAGCUCCAGGCAGGUGCCAUUAAGAACCUCAGAGGAGGUGGCCAGGGUGGAUGGAUGAGGGAAAAAAUAACCUCAUCCAAAAUAUAUGAUUCAAACUUAAAGGAGCAAAGCAAAAUCUCAGUAGGUGGACUUUUUAUUUAUUUCAUUUUCGUUUGUCAGUGAAACAAGAUAAGAACAUCUGUCUCCUGUUAAAUAGGAGCCACAUUCUUUCAGAAAGAUUCCAGAAAGAUAACCUGGGAAGCUUAUGUGAUGCAGAACUGAGCUCCUGCGGUUAGUUAUAUGUGAUAUCAGAGACAGAAUUCAUGUGCCUCUACCAACACUAUUUUUUGAGGGAUUUGGGUGCCGGACUUACCAAUAUCAGAUCUGCAUAACAUUCCUU